rnacentral:rRNA from 1 species
GGCCCUUAUGGGUAGGGCUUCACACGUCAUACAAUGGUCGGUACAGAGGGUUGCCAAGCCGCGAGGUGGAGCCAAUCCCUUAAAGACCGAUCGUAGUCCGGAUCGUAGUCUGCAACUCGACCUACGUGAAGUCGGAAUCGCUAGUAAUCGCAGAUCAGCAUGCUGCGGUGAAUACGUUCCCGGGUCUU